GGGGGUGAAAGGGCUCGACUUAAGUAAAUCAGUCAAAGAUAGCAUGUCGCGGAUGCAGGGUCACCGCGUUAAUCAUCCUUGCAAACAUAAACGCAAACAGACCACUGUUUGUGACAAGGCCUCAGCCCAUGGCAAUGCCUAUGGGUAUGGGUCUUGUGCCAGUCUUCGCUAACUAAGAUUAGCGAAGCCUCUAUUCAUCCAGCCUGAGGGAUGAAAUAGAGAGGUUAGACAGGCUGGUUCCGAUGGAUUAGCCUUUGGAUUCGGAACGAGACUUAAAAAAGGCUGCGGUCCUGCCAAUUCUGUUUAUCGAAGGGGCAGGAAAUAAGUCUAAAAGAUAAACUAAACAUGUAGCGAUCUUUGAUCGAUUACUUAAGGACGGCGGUUCGAUUCCGCCCACCUCCACCA
rnacentral:tmRNA from 1 species